AUGAGCACAUGGAGUAGGAAGGUGGUGGGCGAAUUGGAUGGCAGAAUUAAGAAGACACGUAAUGAUCUUGAGAAAUGCAUGCUCGAACCGGUCUCUGAAGCAAAGAUCCGAGAGGAAGCACGACUUAGAUGCUUGCUGGAGGAACUGAAGGAGAAAAAGCACACGCGGCUUCAGCAACGGGCACAUAUGUGGUGGCUUCAUGGCGGGAGCAAAAAUAUCAAGUAUUUGCAAUCGGUUGCGUCGGCCAGGAAGAGAUCAAAUAAAUUGAAGGAGAUUAGGAGGGAGGAUGGCACAGUGGUGGAGGAAGGAGAAGCACUAACUAAUUAUGUGUGUUCAUUUUUUCAGGAUUUGUUCACCUCAUCCAACCGACACCGACUUUCUGAGCUGAUUGAUAAGGUUCAGCCACGAGUAUCGAGCUCUAUGAAUGCAAUCCUGGAGGCAGAAUACACCCGGGAGGAAGUGAAAGCUGCACUUGACCACAUUGGUGAUCUAAAGGCCCCAGGACCGGACGGUAUGCCGGCAAUUGUAUUGAAGCGUCAUUGA
rnacentral:rRNA from 1 species